rnacentral:rRNA from 1 species
UAUAUGAUGGAGAGUUUGAUCCUGGCUCAGGACGAACGCUGGCGGCGUGGAUUAGGCAUGCAAGUCGAACGGUAUGGCACCUUCGGGUGUCAGAGAGUGGCGAACGGGUGAGUAACAC